AGCAAUGUUGGCUCAGUGGUUAAAAUGUUGGCCUUCUGAUCAGAAGGUUGUGAAUUCAAAUCUCAGCAAUGCCA